AUGUGUAAAGUGUAAUUACUUGAACAAAAUACAUGCAAGUAAUAAUAAUUACUCACGAAGUCUUGCAACAUAAGACCCCAGCCGUCCGUACUGAUGCCUAUGCACACAACAAUGGAAUAUGUCAUGUCAUCACUAAGCAACAACUGCACUGCAACAGAGGAAUGGUGUUUUCUAUGCAGUCCACGCCAAGAUGUUAUAAGCAAUACAAGUUAGCAGUCAGAUAACUGCUGGGGUUCAGCUGUUGUGAGCCACUCCUGUGAGAAGCUGGUAGCUCAGGCAAGGGACAGUUUGGGAAUGUUUGCUGCUGGAAGCUGCUAGUAAGCAAUAGCUAGUGAAGACUGUAACAUACUGAGAAGACCUGGUGUGUCCUAUAGUGAUUUGUGAAGUGUGUAUAAGAGUGACAGUAUGAUCCUUACUUCCAGUUAUGAAUUGUAGAGUUCAGUAAAUCUGAUUACCAAUCCAAACCCCAUCGACAGUCACUCCAUCAUGUGAUAAUAUCUUCCUUUUAUAGUAAGCAGGCUAUUCUUCACUGUUGACAAGAAAGAGCCUGUAUUCUUGGUAUUUAGAGCAUAGAGGCAUACAGCUUAAUGCUAUAAACUUUAUUUUAACAUAUAAAAUACAAAAGGGAUGGAAAAUCUCCUGUAUGAAUGGUUGUGUAUAUGAGCAUAUAACAAAUCUGAAAGGAAUAGUUAUCAAAAGGAAUGGGAUUAUGUUUCCCAUUUUAUACAAAUAUACUACCAGCAUGACACAAAGAUUACAAUUAGCAAAACCUACUAUUUACAAUAAAAGACCAACCUGUCAUUACUGAUAUGUGUGGUAAUUCAGUUUUGUGACUCCUCUUACAAUUAUAUACAUGUUUCAUGAGUAAACAUAAGAAAAACCGAGGAUUCUGCAUCUUUCUCCAAGUUUUACAAAGUAAUAGUUUCUAACAAUUUCCUUUAUAAUUAUAAACCAAACUAUAUUUAUAUCAAUCCUCAUUGUUCUAGUGCACUAAGUACAAAAUUUAAA